rnacentral:lncRNA from 1 species
GAAGACGGUUCGGCGAUUCGUCGAGCCGUUUGCGAAGUUAUUAAAGAAACGGACGUUAGGCUUCGUAUCCGCCUGCAGGGCCGAGGCGAUGUUGUAAAGUCGUGAAAAUGGAUUUGUAGCAUCGUGGCAUCAAACCGAAGACCUAUAAUUUUUGGGGCUGCAAAGCAGAGGACGGUUGAAGCGCAACUGCGAAAUCGGGCCCAAACGGGUACCGGGCGCCACGGGAGGCGGAUUGCAAGUGUCGACAAGCAAUCGGAACGCGAAUCGAGGUGGGUUGUGCUUACCGAAGCGACUAGGUCGCCUUUAUGUCUAAGCAAAUUAAGAAUUCGGGUUGAUGCAUAUAAGCGUUAAAUAAUGCGUGUUAAUGUAAAUGCUAAGUAGAAAUGCAUAGUGAGCAAGUUACAUAAUGCUAGUAUUAUGUCUAUAAUGUUUCAUUGAGCAUAUUAUUAGUAUUCAUGCAUUAUAGGGUAUUGGCACUAUACCAAUGAUAAUGAAAUAUUUGAAUUUCUAUCAAUGUUGAGAACCAAUGAAUAGUAGUAUGUGAACAUAAAAACCUAUGAAUGCAUGAAUUUAUUGUGAACCAAGACAAUAGUGGAUUUGUGACACUAUAAUCAGAGUAUUGGUUAGCAUUGAGAUUGAACUUAUGAAACUAGCAUAAAGAGCUAGUUAGAGUUAAAGUGUGCAAGUUACAUAAUGCUAGUAAUGCAUGAUAAUAAUGUAAUGCUAGUAAUGCAUGAUAUGAUGUAAAUGCUGAAAUAGAUGUAUAUAAAAGAUUAUAUAUAUACGCAUGUAAACUAGAAGGAUGCAUGUAAAUAUAAUGUAUAGAAUGAAAUGUAUGUUGAUAACAUAUUCAUGUAGAAAUGAAUGUUAGAUAAAGUGCCUACUAAUGUAGGAUAUUAUGCUAGAUUUAUGAAACAUGAACUUGGUUGAUAACUCUAGCUUGAUUAGAGAAAUGACAUUGGAAAAUAGGAUUGUAUAAUUGGAACACUCGGUAUGGACAGGUAGCAUGUGAACUAGAUCGAGUGGCAUCUAACUAUUGUUAAAGAACAUAGGUCGUGAGUAGACCUAGAAUCAAAUAGAUCGAGUGGCAUCUAACUUAUUGUUAAAGAACAUAGGUCGUGAGUAGACCUAGAAGCAAAUAGAUCGAGUGGCAUCUAACCUAAUGUGAAUAAACAUAGGUCGGACAUAGUGAUGUUGAACAACCUAGUGUUAGUGAACAUAGGUUGAAUAGUAAACCUAGAGUGGCAUUGAACCUAGGUUGUUGAGUAUAGUGGUAGCAACCACUAGGAUGUUCUAGGUCGACAGCAUAGGGUUGGCUAUGGACCCUCGACCUGUGGAAGUGGAUUCCGGAAUCCCAGGACUUGUGCUAUGCUAACCUUGGUAUCAAGGCUAGGGCGUGUGCGACGAUUUCGCCGCCAGCUGGUUAAGUCACCGAGGGCGGCCAGUGCGCGGACUAUCCGCGGAUGAUUGACUCGAGGCCGAGUCGGGUGGUUAGCUUGAUUAGGUUAAUAGAAACCUAAAGGUAAGAGUUGAGGUAAUAGAAACCUUAGAGUAAUGUGAAUUUGAGUUGUGAACUGAGGUAAUAGAAACCUUAGAGUAAAGAAAUAUGAGCUAAGGUACCUAAGUAAAAGUAGAAUUCAAAUGAUUUACUAGAUGUUGCAUAGAGUUGCAUGACUUGCAUAUUGCAUAUUGUUAGGCCUAACAUGUAUUUCAAUUGAAUAUAUUUGCAUUGUAUAUUGUUGAACUAACAUGUUGCAGGGCCUACUUAGACCUUUUGGUCGAGCUUUUCCCUUGGGUGGCCGUACCCACUGGGAACCAUGGAGUUGGUUCUCACCCCACGUUGUUUUGGGGUUUUACAAGUUCGCACGUGAGCGGCGCGGCGGCGCGAGGAAAGGGCGUAGAUCCAUAGAUAGCGCCCUACCCAGAGACCAGAGCUAGCAGUACCCCGUCGACGUGGCUAGGGGUAUAGAAAAUGGAAAGAACACAAUGUAUCAAUUUGUAAAUAAAUUUGUAAUAACUAGAUUGCAUUUGGAUGACAAAAAAAAGAAUGUAAAAAGAAUUGUAAUGUAAAAAUAUGUGAGUGUGAAUGUAUGUAAUAAUAUAGGAUGUGUUAUGUUGUUGAUACCUUCCUUAUGCAAUCUGUUUGUUGAAUACUGUUCCUGGUUGGAACCUUCGUAUUGUAUUGAUUGCGUUGCCUUGAAUGUACAGGGGAGACUCUGUCCGCAGUACAGGGAAAACCCUGUCCAUUCGGCACUGUCGUCGGCGCCGCGACCUCGGCCAAAUAGGCGGGUGGUCGCGGGCUGUGACAUCUUCGAAAUCUUGAAUUCUUCAAUCUUCAUCAAUCCGCUUCGAUCCUUCAAGACUCCGACUCACUUCACAAAACUUGCAAAUACAAAGUUCUUAACAGUCAAGAGACAAAUGGAGAAGGACCUGCGCGACUUGCGCCGGGGGGAUCGGACGGUAGUCGAGUACGAGAGGGAGUUUUCUCGGCUUCUGCAUUGUGUGCCUUUCGUCGUGCGGGACGAUGAGGACAAGGCCCGCAUUUUUUAGAGUGGACUUCGACCAUCGAUUUUCUGGUUUGUGCAAUCGUCAAAUCUGUAGACCUACCGGGAAGUGGUGAACCGCGCUCUCAUUGUGGAGAGGGGCGCGACGGAUGUAUAAGAAUGAGGAGAGGGCUUGGACAAGGGUAAGGACAAAAGGCCCGCGGCUGAGGGUGCGAGUUAGGCGCACUCUAGGAGGCCGCCGAAACACGCUAGGAGCUAGUCGCGGAGGCGUGGCUCAUCUGCACUGCGAGGACGUUCUGAUCGUCGCCGACCUCCCCAGUGCGUAUCUGUGGUGGUCCUCACAUUCCACCGCAGUGUCCGCAGCUGGGAGGCAGGUGCUUCCUUUGUGGCCAGGAGGGCCACUUCCGUACCGAGUGCCCGAGGGGUUCGUCACCGGCACCGUCAUCUGCAUCGGCACCGGUUUUACAAGCUACUAGCCAGGGGACACCGUCGGCAUACUACCAGUCUGGGUGGC